GAUGAAGAACGUAGCGAAAUGCGAUACUUGGUGUGAAUUGCAGAAUCCCGUGAACCAUCGAGUCUUUGAACGCAAGUUGCGCCCGAAGCCACUAGGCCGAGGGCACGCCUGCCUGGGCGUCACACGCCGUUGCCCCCCCAUCUACUCCUUCGAGAUUGCGGGGGGGCGGAUGAUGGCCUCCCGUGCGCCUAGCCGCGCGGUUGGCAUAAAUACCAAGUCCUCGGCGACGCACGCCACGACAAUCGGUGGUUGCGAAACCUCGGUUGCCCGUCGUGUGCGUUCGUCGCGCAUCGAGGACUCGAAAAAAUGCUCGGCUCCGGCUGGGCUUUCAACGCGACCCCAGGUCAGGCGGGGUUACCCGCUGAAUUUAAGCAUAUCAAUAAGCGGAGGA
rnacentral:misc_RNA from 1 species